rnacentral:rRNA from 1 species
UUAAAUUGAAGAGUUUGAUCAUGGCUCAGAUUGAACGCUGGCGGCAGGCCUAACACAUGCAAGUCGAACGGUAACAGGAAACAGCUUGCUGUUUCGCUGACGAGUGGCGGACGGGUGAGUAAUGUCUGGGAAACUGCCUGAUGGAGGGGGAUAACUACUGGAAACGGUAGCUAAUACCGCAUAACGUCGCAAGACCAAAGAGGGGGACCUUCGGGCCUCUUGCCAUCGGAUGUGCCCAGAUGGGAUUAGCUUGUUGGUGGGGUAACGGCUCACCAAGGCGACGAUCCCUAGCUGGUCUGAGAGGAUGACCAGCCACACUGGAACUGAGACACGGUCCAGACUCCUACGGGAGGCAGCAGUGGGGAAUAUUGCACAAUGGGCGCAAGCCUGAUGCAGCCAUGCCGCGUGUAUGAAGAAGGCCUUCGGGUUGUAAAGUACUUUCAGCGGGGAGGAAGGGAGUAAAGUUAAUACCUUUGCUCAUUGACGUUACCCGCAGAAGAAGCACCGGCUAACUCCGUGCCAGCAGCCGCGGUAAUACGGAGGGUGCAAGCGUUAAUCGGAAUUACUGGGCGUAAAGCGCACGCAGGCGGUUUGUUAAGUCAGAUGUGAAAUCCCCGGGCUCAACCUGGGAACUGCAUCUGAUACUGGCAAGCUUGAGUCUCGUAGAGGGGGUAGAAUUCCAGGUGUAGCGGUGAAAUGCGUAGAGAUCUGGAGGAAUACCGGUGGCGAAGGCGGCCCCCUGGACGAAGACUGACGCUCAGGUGCGAAAGCGUGGGGAGCAAACAGGAUUAGAUACCCUGGUAGUCCACGCCGUAAACGAUGUCGACUUGGAGGUUGUGCCCUUGAGGCGUGGCUUCCGGAGCUAACGCGUUAAGUCGACCGCCUGGGGAGUACGGCCGCAAGGUUAAAACUCAAAUGAAUUGACGGGGGCCCGCACAAGCGGUGGAGCAUGUGGUUUAAUUCGAUGCAACGCGAAGAACCUUACCUGGUCUUGACAUCCACAGAACUUUCCAGAGAUGGAUUGGUGCCUUCGGGAACUGUGAGACAGGUGCUGCAUGGCUGUCGUCAGCUCGUGUUGUGAAAUGUUGGGUUAAGUCCCGCAACGAGCGCAACCCUUAUCCUUUGUUGCCAGCGGUCCGGCCGGGAACUCAAAGGAGACUGCCAGUGAUAAACUGGAGGAAGGUGGGGAUGACGUCAAGUCAUCAUGGCCCUUACGACCAGGGCUACACACGUGCUACAAUGGCGCAUACAAAGAGAAGCGACCUCGCGAGAGCAAGCGGACCUCAUAAAGUGCGUCGUAGUCCGGAUUGGAGUCUGCAACUCGACUCCAUGAAGUCGGAAUCGCUAGUAAUCGUGGAUCAGAAUGCCACGGUGAAUACGUUCCCGGGCCUUGUACACACCGCCCGUCACACCAUGGGAGUGGGUUGCAAAAGAAGUAGGUAGCUUAACCUUCGGGAGGGCGCUUACCACUUUGUGAUUCAUGACUGGGGUGAAGUCGUAACAAGGUAACCGUAGGGGAACCUGCGGUUGGAUCACCUCCUUACCUUAAAGAAGC